AACCAAACAAAAAACUCCACUUUAGAGCCUGCUUCGUUUUCGUAGUUGAAUGCAUACACGCAUAUGUGGCGUAAAGUAUUAGCUGGCACGAGUGUGAAAUGAUCAGAUUACUUAUGGAUGGGUGGGAAGAGGCAGGAGUGCGUUUAGUUCAACGAGUGCCUUAAAAUCGUGUUCUUUGCUGCCUGCUGGCAUCCGCUGUUUAACUUCUGCUGGGACGGCUGUUCCCAGAAAUAAACUUUCAAAUAUAAAUAAACUUUCAGAAUUCAUAGGAAUUAGCAUGUUAGCGGAUUUGCCGGGGCAGCAAAUUAAGUGGAGGCAUUGCAGUCAGCUCCGGGAGCGAGCGGGCACGGCUGCAGCCGUUUUGGGGGAGGCAGCUGAUCAAUGCAACUCGCUUUCGGGCUUUUUUUAAAAUCGGUUGCAUAGAAAUGCGCACUGUGAAAUAUCUCUUCGUAUAAUUGAAAAUAAAUCUAUCUGAGAACUCUGCGAUCCGUUCAGAGAUAUGCCGCCCAUAGAGCAAAGUAGGAAGCAUGACCGGAUAAUACAGGAGGCAAAGGAGUAAUCUCAUUCAGACGUGCUUCACUGAAAACAGAGGGAACCAAGUGAGCCUAGCUUUCUCUUAACUCAGGAAACCCUCGCUAGCAUGGCUGAUAUCUGACAGAGGGAAGAAGACGAUUUAGGACAUGACAGUCCUCUCUUCCACGAGUAAGUGAAGACCUCCAGGCUCGAACUAAAGCCUUGUGGCUCAAAUGACUUUUUUUUUCCUGCUAAAUCUCUGUUAAAAUAAUUACUGUAUCUAAGGUAAUUCUGAAGAUUUGGAUAUAAAUGCCUCACAAUUGCCAAAAAUAGGAAUGCACGCCCAUGAGAUGGGGAGACUGAAGUAGGACUCGGGACUGAUAGUUCUGAGGCUUUUGGGGAUGUCUGGUUUCAUGGGAUAAAGAUCACUCCUCCAUUGCCAAACCAAGAAAGCCAACCUAUGCAGUUAUGAGAAGGAGCUGAGGAGAGGAUCUGAGCUUCAAAUCUUAAGAUUUGAAUAAAUCUCAGAGGUGAAGGUGCAGUCUGCACAGUCAAGUCAACAAAAAAGUUAAUUAAGCUGACUGAAGAGUUAUAAACUGAGUGAGCAGCUAAAUGGAAUAAAGGUGAGGGAGUCUUCCCCCUUGGGGAGGUCAUCUCCCACUGACUAAGUAUGCAGUCUGAAGAAACAUACAGCACCCUUCAGCUGUGACAACUGAUGAUGAAGAAACCUCUGUCCAUGGGUUCCAGAAGAAUAACUAUGUCCAACUUCUGACUCUCCCCUCCAUCCAAUCCACCACAGGACAGGACGAUCGUACCAUGAACAAGGUCAUGAUCUGGAGGGAAGAAUGGAGGAUAAUUAAGACAUUUCAAGAGAAAUCUGAGACAUUUGUAUAUUGCCAAGGCAAAGAUUUUGCUUAUGAAACUUGGUAGUAAGAUCAGUGCAAAAAAUUCUGGGAAAUAGAAAAGGACCUCAAACAUCAGAAGAUGAAGAGAGGCCACAGUGGUCUAUUUCUACACAUUGACCUUUUCCAGAUACAAUUUCAUUUCUGUUGAUGUUAAUACCUGAAGUUGAAAGUGGACUAAGAAGAAUGUUUUAAACCUACUAACCAGUGUGAAAUAUUACAAUUGCAUCUCUCUGACACUGAUGUCAUUAAAACAGGAUGACUGAUACAAUGUGGCAAACAUAUUAAAGCUUUCUAAAUUACUUUUAACAGGUGAUUUUUUCAGAACAAGUUUGUGCACAGGAUGGUUUUAUGUAAGAGUUCUGAAGGAACGAAGUACAUAGUAAGAAAAGACUGCUUUGACUAUACACUACGUAUAAAAAGACAGGGCUAUUUUUAGCUGUAAAUUCUAGCAAAUGUCUUGACUAUCUAGCUAACAUUUAAGCGUUUC